AUUGAACGCUGGCGGCAUGCUUUACACAUGCAAGUCGAACGGUAACAGGCCGCAAGGUGCUGACGAGUGGCGAACGGGUGAGUAAUGCAUCGGAACGUGCCCAGUCGUGGGGGAUAACUGCUCGAAAGAGCAGCUAAUACCGCAUACGAUCUAUGGAUGAAAGCGGGGGACCGUAAGGCCUCGCGCGAUUGGAGCGGCCGAUGUCAGAUUAGGUAGUUGGUGGGGUAAAGGCUCACCAAGCCAACGAUCUGUAGCUGGUCUGAGAGGACGACCAGCCACACUGGGACUGAGACACGGCCCAGACUCCUACGGGAGGCAGCAGUGGGGAAUUUUGGACAAUGGGGGCAACCCUGAUCCAGCAAUGCCGCGUGCAGGAAGAAGGCCUUCGGGUUGUAAACUGCUUUUGUACGGAACGAAACGGUCUGGGUUAAUACCCUGGGCUAAUGACGGUACCGUAAGAAUAAGCACCGGCUAACUACGUGCCAGCAGCCGCCGCCGUAA
rnacentral:rRNA from 1 species